rnacentral:rRNA from 1 species
GAUGAACGCUAGCGGCAGGCCUAAUACAUGCAAGUCGAACGCUCAGUAGCAAUACUGGGAGUGGCGCACGGGUGCGUAACGCGUACACAAUCUACCUCUAAGCGGGGGACACCUCCUGGAAACGGGGAUUAAUACCGCAUAAUAUGCCGAAGUCGCAUGACUUUGGUAUUAAAGCAGCAAUGCACUUAGAGAUGAGUGUGCGUCCCAUUAGGUAGUUGGUGAGGUAACGGCUCACCAAGCCUAUGAUGGGUAGCCGGUCUGAGAGGAUGGUCGGCCACACGGGCACUGAGACACGGGCCCGACUCCUACGGGAGGCAGCAGUAAGGAAUAUUGGUCAAUGGUGGAAACACUGAACCAGCCAUGCCGCGUGGAGGAAUAAGGUCCUACGGAUUGUAAACUCCUUUUGACGAGGAAGAAAAUGUUAGAUUUAUCUAAUUUUGACGGUACUCGUAGAAUAAGCACCGGCUAACUCCGUGCCAGCAGCCGCGGUAAAG